GACGAACGCUGGCGGCGUGCUUAACACAUGCAAGUCGAACGAUGAAGCCCAGCUUGCUGGGUGGAAGAGUGGCGAACGGGUGAGUAACACGUGAGUAACCUGCCCUGAACUCUGGGAUAAGCACUGGAAACGGUGUCUAAUACUGGAUACGACCUAUCACCGCAUGGUGUGUGGGUGGAAAGAUUUAUCGGUUCUGGAUGGACUCGCGGCCUAUCAGCUAGAUGGUGAGGUAAUGGCUCACCAUGGCGACGACGGGUAGCCGGCCUGAGAGGGUGACCGGCCACACUGGGACUGAGACACGGCCCAGACUCCUACGGGAGGCAGCAGUGGGGAAUAUUGCACAAUGGGCGCAAGCCUGAUGCAGCAACGCCGCGUGAGGGAUGACGGCCUUUCGGGUUUGUAAAACCUCUUUAGUAGGGAAGAAGCGAAAGUGACGGUACCUGCAG
rnacentral:rRNA from 1 species